rnacentral:lncRNA from 1 species
CAUUGCUUUUGUAGAGCACCAAAGAAGUAUGGAGAAGGACCCUGAGAAGAAGAAAUACCCUGGUGGGGCUUUUGACCCAUUGGGCUACUCAAAAGACCCUAAAAAGUUUGAGGAACUUAAAGUCAAGGAAAUAAAAAAUGGUAUAGAACUUGACUCCACUCCUAUUAUGCAUUUCAUAUUUUUCUUAUAAAGACCCUAAAAAGUUUGAGGAACUCAAAGUCAAGGAAAUCAAAAAUGGUAUAGAACUUGACUCCAUUCCUUUUGUGCAUUUCACAUUGUUUUUAUGAAUUUAAGUUAUAUAUACUAAUAGGAGAGUCUGGAGGUCUAGUAUCAAGGUUGUAGGAUAGGGGACUUAUAGUUAGUGGUCGGUGUUUUUGCAUCCCAUUUUAUUUACUGAAUGUGGCUAAAUUAUUAUGUGUGGAUGCUCAUUUACUUCUGUUUUUGUUUACCUUUUCCUUUUGCAUGUCAUGUUACUUAUGGUCUAUGUUUAUAUAAUUAUGUAUCGUGAUUUCUGCUGGAGUUACUAAUGCUCUUUUAUUUUUGUUUUUGUCUGUGUUUCUGUUUUUCCUUUUCUUUUUCUAAGCCGAGGGCCUGCUGGAAACAGCCUCUCUAUCCUUUCGGGUGGUGGUAAGGCAUGCGUACAUAUUACCCUCCCCAGACCCCACCGUGGGACUAUACUGGAUAGUAAUUAUUGUUAUACUAAUAGUGUAAGAAUUUUUUGUAACGUCUUGGUCAUUAAAAUGUCUCGUGGGUUCGAGGAUCGAUUUGCUAACGCUCCUUUAUGUGGUAUGUUUGUUACUUGUUAG